GAUGAACGCUGGCGGCGUGCCUAAUACAUGCAAGUCGAGCGAACGGACGAGAAGCUUGCUUCUCUGAUGUUAGCGGCGGACGGGUGAGUAACACGUGGAUAACCUACCUAUAAGACUGGGAUAACUUCGGGAAACCGGAGCUAAUACCGGAUAAUAUUUUGAACCGCAUGGUUCAAAAGUGAAAGACGGUCUUGCUGUCACUUAUAGAUGGAUCCGCGCUGCAUUAGCUAGUUGGUAAGGUAGCGGCUUACCAAGGCAACGAUGCAUAGCCGACCUGAGAGGGUGAUCGGCCACACUGGAACUGAGACACGGUCCAGACUCCUACGGGAGGCAGCAGUAGGGAAUCUUCCGCAAUGGGCGAAAGCCUGACGGAGCAACGCCGCGUGAGUGAUGAAGGUCUUCGGAUCGUAAAACUCUGUUAUUAGGGAAGAACAUAUGUGUAAGUAACUGUGCACAUCCUGACGGUACCUAAUCAGAAAGCCACGGCUAACUACGUG
rnacentral:rRNA from 1 species